AGUGAACGCUGGCGGUAGGCCUAACACAUGCAAGUCGAACGGCAGCACAGUAAGAGCUUGCUCUUACGGGUGGCGAGUGGCGGACGGGUGAGGAAUACAUCGGAAUCUACUUUUUCGUGGGGGAUAACGUAGGGAAACUUACGCUACUACCGCAUACGACCUACGGGUGAAAGCAGGGGAUCUUCGGACCUUGCGCGAUAGAAUGAGCCGAUGUCGGAUUAGCUAGUUGGCGGGGUAAAGGCCCACCAAGGCGACGAUCCGUAGCUGGUCUGAGAGGAUGAUCAGCCACACUGGAACUGAGACACGGUCCAGACUCCUACGGGAGGCAGCAGUGGGGAAUAUUGGACAAUGGGCGCAAGCCUGAUCCAGCCAUACCGCGUGAGUGAAGAAGGCCUUCGGGUUGUAAAGCCCUUUUGUUGGGAAAGAAAAGCAGCAGGUUAAUACCCCGCUGUUCUGACGGUACCUAAAGAAUAAGCACCGGCUAACUUCGUG
rnacentral:rRNA from 1 species